GAUGAAGAACGCAGCGAAAUGCGAUAAGUAAUGUGAAUUGCAGAAUUCAGUGAAUCAUCGAAUCUUUGAACGCACAUUGCGCCCGUCAGUAUUCUGGCGGGCAUGCCUGUUCGAGCGUCAUUACGCCCCUCAAGUCCCCUGUGGACUUGGUGUUGGGGAUCGGCGAGGUUGGUUUUCCAGCACAGCCGUCCCUUAAAUUAAUUGGCGGUCUCGCCGUGGCCCUCCUCUGCGCAGUAGUAAAACACUCGCAACAGGAGCCCGGCGCGGUCCACUGCCGUAAAACCCCCCAACUUUUUAUAGUUGACCUCGAAUCAGGUAGGACUACCCGCUGAACUUAAGCAUAUCAAUAAGCGGAGGA
rnacentral:misc_RNA from 1 species